CGUACAAUGUGAUUGAUAUAAUAUCAAGUCCAUACCAGACCGUCUAACUUUUCUAGCGGCCGAGCUUCGUUUUGCGAUUUCCACGAUUUCCUGAUUUAAAGCCGAAAAU